rnacentral:rRNA from 1 species
UGGAGAGUUUGAUCCUGGCUCAGGACGAACGCUGGCGGCGUGCUUAACACAUGCAAGUCGAACGGAAAGGCCCUUCGGGGUACUCGAGUGGCGAACGGGUGAGUAACACGUGGGUGAUCUGCCCUGCACUCUGGGAUAAGCCUGGGAAACUGGGUCUAAUACCGGAUAGGACCACACACUUCAUGGUGAGUGGUGCAAAGCUUUUGCGGUGUGGGAUGAGCCCGCGGCCUAUCAGCUUGUUGGUGGGGUAAUGGCCCACCAAGGCGACGACGGGUAGCCGGCCUGAGAGGGUGACCGGCCACACUGGGACUGAGAUACGGCCCAGACUCCUACGGGAGGCAGCAGUGGGGAAUAUUGCACAAUGGGCGCAAGCCUGAUGCAGCGACGCCGCGUGAGGGAUGACGGCCUUCGGGUUGUAAACCUCUUUCAGUAGGGACGAAGCRAAAGUGACGGUACCUACAGAAGAAGGACCGGCCAACUACGUGCCAGCAGCCGCGGUA